GAGUUCGUAAACUCACUCAAGCCCCGCAACCCGGAAGUGCUUCCACCGGACUUCACCCAAGACUCUCUUUCAAGAGUACUGUUGGUACUUCCUGUACUCUAAAAAGAACUCCUGAUUCCUGUGACGUUUGUCUCCCGAUCCAGCUGUUUAUAUUUUAAUAAAAAUAUUAAAACUA